ensembl:lncRNA
AAAUGGAUUGUGCAGAAGACCACAUUGAGAGUUGACAUAAGGAAUGUCUGAACGACUUCAAGUGGAGUACUUUUCACAGCUGAAAUAAAUGAACGCAUAUGAUUGCAUCCAUGUGUCUGGCCAGACCAACAUUGUAGAACAGUCAGAAUGUAUCAAGUUGAUUUAAUGUUUCUGAAUAAGGCCAAGGAGAAACUUCAGCGUCCCUGGGACAGGUUAGUGACAGGUAAUGGGACGAUGAGUUACACUGCAGUCACAUUCUUUAGGCAUUGGUGGUAAAAGGCAGAUUACUGUUUAUCAAACAGCCUACACUAAGGGACAGGUAGUGUAUGAACAUAUGAGGGAGCUCUGACAAGUUAGAGAACUUUAGAAUUUGAACUACCAGAAACAAAUCUGUUUAGACAAGUGUAUAACAAAAACGCAAAUUCCCUUUUACUCCAGGCCCACAGUCUGUUACCAAACAGCAAGCACAUGGUAGGCAGAAGAGAUUAUAUUUUAAGGACAAGGUUUUGAAAGUCAAAUGGUUUAUUGAGCAAAUCAUGCAAGAGUAGCAGGAACACCAGGCUAAAUCAAAAGCAUAACCGUAGAACCUAAAAGUGUGUCUGCAAUAUCGCUACAUCAGAAGUCAAUUUAGUCGUAUGUUUAUAAAAACGAUUCAUAACAUUGUAUCAUCCACCUCUGUAUACAAUUUGCAUGACGAUGUACAAGUGAAGGAGAUCCUCAUUUCAAACAAGCGCAUUAGUUCGCACAUUUCCCCACCUCAGUUACCUUUACUGUGCCUCUAGCAGAAAAGGGUAACAGGGAUAAGACGAUUAAGGAGUUGGCCAAACCAAACUAUGAUCUCCCUAGUUGAGUGGUCGGGCCGUCUGUUCAAGGCUUGUCGCUUCUGCUGAGGCGCCGGGGCCUGUUGCUUCUGCUGAGGCGCCGGGGCCUGUUGCUUCUGCUGAGGCGCCGGGGCCUGUUGCUUCUGCUGAGGCGCCGGGGCCUGUUGCUUCUGCUGAGGCGCCGGGGCCGGACGCUACCGCUGAGGCGCCGGGGCCUGUUGCUUCUGCUGAGGCGCCGGGGCCUGUUGCUUCUACUGAGGCGCCGGGGCCGGACUUUACACUUGACAUGGCAUUGUGGCCAGUAGCUUCUGCUGACGUGGCAUUGUGGCCAGUAGCUUCUGCUGACGUGGCAUUGUGGCCAGUAGCUUCUGCUGACGUGGCAUUGUGGCCAGUAGCUUCUGCUGACGUGGCAUUGUGGCCAGUAGCUUUAGCAUUUGGACCAGACACCACACUUGCUUGGGCAUAGGAUCCAGUUGGUUCAGGUCCAGUGUAGGCAGGAUGCCCAUGAGCGUUACCUAGGAAACAAAGAAAACAUUGUGGUAAAAUGCCAGCCUUCAUUUGGAUCGGAACUAGACCUGCGAUUUGACCUGAAUUAGUGUAAAGCAAAACGCACCUUUAAGUGUAAAACAAGUUAUCCCUCCAAUUAGCAGGCAACAAAUCCAAGAAACACUACAAAACAGUCAGACAGUUAAACAUAAAUAACCAGUGAACACUUUAAGACAUGGUAAACCAACCAGAUGAACGCAUUGAAAAACUAACCUCAAAGAGAGUCCAAAAGUCACAGCCAUUUUAGUGAUCAAAACCACAACAGUAUUCAAGAACUAAUUCUCGACAGCCUGCCAGAAUAUCCCGGUUGCUAUUUCUAACAGCUGUUUUGGUUGCACCUCAUAAAGGAAUCCCAGACCCUUCUACCCUGGCUGGCUAAUUAUGUACAGCUGUCAGCCAAUGAACUUCAUUUCCAUUGGUUCAAUUUCCCAAAUGUGAUUAGGUGCAGUCAUCCGUUGCCGUAUGGUGAACAACAGAGGGAGAAUUGGACGACAAAAGAAAGAGACCAAAUUCAGUUCAACAACUUACAAAAAAACAGACAAUUGAUGAACGCAUAUUACAUUUCAUACAUGUUCAGUCGUCUGUAGCUGCCAAAUUCUGAUCUUUUUCCCACUAAUUGGUCUUUUCACCAAUCAGGUCAGCCGUUUUGCCAGCAAUUGUGAUUGCGUCCAAACAGACUUCAGCCACUUUCCAAAGCUUAGAUGUUGCUGAAGUCUGCCAGAUCUUACAUCGCCUUGAUAGGUAUUUUAAGUAUCAGCUAACCACAUCAUAUGUCAGAGGAUGACACAGUU